GUGCUCGCUCUGGCAGUACAUAUACUAAAACUGGAAUGAUACAGAGAAGACUAGGAUGGCCCCUGCACAAGGAUGACACGUAAAUUUGUGAAGUGUUCCAUAUUUAA